GCACCCCCGAACUUGAACUUUGCUCUUCCUUGAGUGAUGUAACUAAGGGUAUUGAUCAUUUAGUUCCUUUUUUUUUCUAAGCAAAAGAGAAAAUACAUUAAAUUUGAUCAAUCAAUUCCUAGUUUAUGGGAUUACACAUAAAUUGUGCAUUUAAUAAGUUUUGAGCAGGAUUGUCCUCAUGUAUGGAUUCCACAACAAACAUCUAAAUCACCCCCUUUAACACAACUUAGAUUGUUCACCCAAUAUUGAUAUAAAGUGUGGAUGUGUGUGUGAGUGCAGUGCAAUUGCUUAUUGCUCUUGUGUAAACAUCAUCCAACUGAUUAAUCCUAAUCUUGCUAAUAAAUAAACAUAGGAAUUAAAUUAUCAGACUUUCAUAUAAGCUAUGUGAGAA
rnacentral:lncRNA from 1 species